CCGCGAUAUAUUCGUGAGUAAUUCAAUAUACAGGUACAUAAUUAUCGGGGGCGUGUCAGAAAACUAAUUUAAACGGGUAAAUUAGAAUUUUUUCAUGCACACUCCUGAUUAUUCACAUCUCCACAUUUUCCCAAUCCAAAAAAACAAUUCUAACUGUAUGCUCGAUUCUAACGUUUAUAUUCUUUUUUUUAGAGAUUGUAAACUUUAAAAAAGGAUAGACAUACUUUGCACGUGAGUGCAGCGAUUGUUAGAGAUGGGAAGUUGGAAAAUUAGGGUACAGACGGGAAUUUAAUGUACAUUAGUAAGCAACGAUAAACCAUUGCUAACGAAUAAACGAUUCUGAGCGGAGUUCAGUUGAUAGUGUUGCUUUAUCAACAAUACAAUAUAUGGUAUAUGUCAUAUUAUGGUAAAAUGAUCACAACAAUGUGCGUUUUCAUGAC